GGAGAAAUACCAUAUUAUCCCCAUUUUGCAGAUGAGGAGACAGAAGUGGAGAGAGGUGAAGUGACUUGCUCAACAUCACACAGUUGCCUUCCCACGUGUGUGAGACCAUUGCUGUGGAAAGAAGCCGGGCCUGACUUCAGGGAUCUGGUGUGAAAUGACUGGACCCAUGCGUUCUGAGUAAACAAGAGAGCCCCUUCUGGCUUCUCCGGGAGGAACCAAAUGGCUUCAGCAUUCAGCUCCAGAGCCCGAUGGAGACCAAGAGUGAUACACUGUACUCAUGAUCAACUGCUCAGUUCUGGUUUGGGCCUCUGAGGGCUGAUGGGGUUUGGCAGUUCUGCCUCCACACAGCUGCCAAGGCCACCAUAAUUCUGGGACCUAGGAGUAAUUUCAACGGUUUGGCUGUUACAUAUACAGCUGUUAUAAACAUCUGUGUGCGUGUCUUUCCAAAUGGAAUUGCUGGUUCAUGGAACCUCCAGCACAAUGUUGAAUGGAAAUGGUGAUAGUGGGCAUCUUGUCUUGUACCCAGUCUCACUAUGUGGAAGCUUCACUAUUUCACAAUGAAGGCCCAGCACGGUGACUCAAACCUGUAAUCCCAGCACUUUGGAGGGCUGAGGCAAGUGGAUCACCUGAGAUCAGGAGUUCAAGACCAGUCAAGACCAGCCUGGCCAACAUGGUGAAACCCCAUCUCUACUAAAAAUACAAAAACAAACAAACAAAAAAAUCAGCCAGCUGUGGUGGCGCAUGCCUGUAGUCCCAGCUACUCGGGAGGCUGAGGCAGGAGAAUCACUUGAACCCGAGAGGAGGAAGUUGCAGGAGUCAAGAUCAUACAACUGCAUUCCAGCCUGGGUGACAGAGCAAGACCCCAUCUCAAAAAAAAAAAAAAUUCACAAUGAAGUAUGUUGUUUGCUGAAGGUUUUCAUAGAUGCCCUUUGCCAGGUUGAGGAAGCUCCCUUCUGUUCCUAAUGUGUUGAGACUUUUAUCAUGAAUGUGUGUUAAAUUUUGUAAAAUGCUUUUUACGCAUUUAUCAUGAUUUUUCUCCUUUUUACUGUUAGGUGAAUUACAAUGAUUGGUUUUUGAUUGUUAAACCACCCUUGAAUUCCUGGAUUAAAACUCAUCUGGUCGUAA